CAGCCGUAAACUAUGCGCGUUAGGUGUAUCGGUGACCACGAGUCACCGAGGUGCCGAAGGGAAACCGUGAAACGUGCCGCCUGGGAAGUACGGUCGCAAGGCUGAAACUUAAAGGAAUUGGCGGGGGAGGCACCACAACAGGUGGAGCCUGCGGUUUAAUUGGACUCAACGCCGGGAAGCUCACCGGAUAGGACAGCAGAAUGAUUGCCGGGCUGAAGACCCUGCAUGACUAGCUGAGAGGUGGUGCAUGGCGUCAGUGACU
rnacentral:rRNA from 1 species